rnacentral:rRNA from 1 species
CGGANAGAGCNCGUGAAUCCGGGCCGGCGANUUCAGGACCGAUAGGCGUGCCUCUCGCGGGUGCUGCCUGUCGGUUUGAUGUUUCGUCGGCCGUAUUUAAUUCGGACGUUGCGACCCGUUUGGUGCUGGUUUUCACGAGGGCUAGCGUCUAGUUCGUCAGUUUGAUUCGUCUCGGCGAAUUAGUUUGGCGAUACGUUAGUUCCGAGCUAGCUAGCCCGACGGUAUGAUAACGGUGUCCGGCGGCGGCGGCGGCGCGAGGACUCCGGUCCUCAGUCGUCGUCGUCGUCGGUACCGGUCGGUAACGAUUAUUCGGGCCUCUUUCCGACCCGUCUUGAAACACGGACCAAGGAGUCUAACGUGUGCGCGAGUCAUAGGGUGUCGCCGACUGGCGUGCGCUUCGGCGUACAUCAGUCGGCGUUAUACAAACGAAACCCGACCAGGCGUAAUGAAAGUAAUUUUUGCGCUAGUCGCAAUCGGGAAGAUAGCGUUCCGAGUACACGUUCUAGACACUCGAUCUAGACCGGACGCUCGCAUUCCCGGGGCGUUCCUUCAGUCCGGCGGUGUGCUACUUCGGUGGCGCGCCGUCGAACUGGGGCGCACUCGUAGCGUACACGUUGGUACCCGAAAGAUGGUGAACUAUGCCCGGCCAGGAUGAAGUCAGGGGAAACCCUGAUGGAGGUCCGCAGCGAUNCUGACGUGCAAAUCGAUCGUCU